UACAGAGGGGGGCAAGCGUUAUUCGGAAUUAUUGGGCGUAAAGGGCGCGUAGGCGGCCUGGCAAGUGGAAGGUGAAAUCCCUCGGCUUUAACCGAGGAACUGCCCUCCAAACUGCUUGGCUUGAGUCCGGGAGAGGUGAGUGGAAUUCCCAGUGUAGCGGUGAAAUGCGUAGAUAUUGGGAGGAACACCAGUGGCGAAGGCGGCUCACUGGCUCGUAUCUGACACUCAAGCGCGACAGCGUGGGGAUCAAACAGG
rnacentral:rRNA from 1 species